UGCAAACUCAUCCAUGUUCAUACACACAUUUUCACACAUGCAAACUCACCCAUAUUCAUACACACAUACCCUCAUACACAGUCACCAACACAAACUCACAACACACACAUUUUCACACUCAUACGUGCGCGAACUCACACACUGAUAUACACAUACUCACCCACAUGUAAGUAGACUCAUACACAUUCCUGCAUGCAUUCACACACAGUUUCCAUAUGCACACACAUUCUCCCACACACCUGACACAUACAUCAUGCUUUCGCAGAUCAAGUUUCCAGUUUCACAUCUGUGUCACCUCCAGUACAUUUUCGUACACACCCUCAAAAGACAUCUCUGCAAGAAAUUCCAAGACUCCCCACCCCCUUCCUGGCCCACCAUCGUCCUUUUGGGUGUAUUCAGGGGCAGCCUGGGGCACAGUUAUUAAAC
rnacentral:lncRNA from 1 species